GAGGUUUCCAUAGAAACAAUAGGAUUGAGCAUAUCUGAGGGCAAUGUGUAUGUUUGUACACAGUAACCGUCUCCCAAGUGGUUUUUGCUGGGAACUGAAGUGUAAAAAGAGCCUCUGUCAUGGUCAGAUUCAAAUGAGAGUUGAGAGUCAUGACUGAUUUUUGUUGUUGGUCUCCUGGUGACGCAGUUUAGGACAACACUGUUCAGUGUGUAUGAUUCCUCAGCUAGUUAGAGCGUUCCAACCAAAUUGAUUAGAUUGGAAACCAAGACAUGGGAAGGAUAUAUCAAAAUCUUCAAAGGCACCUCAACAUCAAGUUCGAGGACCUUCGCUAUUUGGUGAAUGAGGUGGGAGUAGGAGGAGUAAUUCUGUGAUGGCGGUGGAGGAUGGUUGUCUGCCACAUCUGACAAUAGAGUAGGAAUAUUAGUUGAUAACUCACAAUUGCAAAAUAAGGUCCGGAAUCAAGCCAGGGAGGUCCAAAGAAGAGGGGAAAAGGUAAGAUAGAUAGAUUGAUUGAGCGCAUAAAGUUCCAUAUGAAGCUGCAACAGUGGCCGUCAAAAAGGAACUGAGGCACUCGGUGCCAGGGGCUGAGUUAUAGCUAGU